ACGAUUUGGACAAGAACCAGGUUUCAGGCCACCAUCUCCAUCUGCAAAUCCAAAGGCUUGUACUUGAGAGUAUGUUUUAUCAUUUUUCUCCAACAGAAUUUUAAUAGACCUAAAAGUUUGUUUUUAGAGAUGAGCUAAAAAUGCUCACAUUGGUUUUCUACCAAGUAUCUCCACUCAUAAGCAAUGCCUUCUGAAGAUUCUUUGGCAGACUUGGAUGUGAAGACAACCAAUCGCUGAUUGUGCUGAACCAUAUCAACUACAGUUGGCCAUUCUCCACCAUUUUUAGGCAUCCGAGAAACUGGAAACCAGAAUUUUCUAAGCCCAGCCGCAU
rnacentral:lncRNA from 1 species